rnacentral:rRNA from 1 species
UCGAAACCUGCAAAAGCAGACGACCUGCGAACACGUUAAAAAGUACCAAGGCGGAUUGGCGAAGGGCGCGAGCCCCGAUCCAGUCCGCUUGUCGGGUCGCGAAGUCGGCGGCAUCCCUUGCGGUUGUGGCCGCUCCGCGUUCCCGCACAACUUAAAAAUCCGGCGCGAUCGGCGUCAAGAAAUCUUAGCGGAAACAAAGCGUUGUGCCUUCACCGGUACAUCGCCAAGAAUCCCAAUACUCAAACGACUCUCGGCAACGGAUAUCUCGGCUCUUGCAUCGAUGAAGAACGUAGCGAAAUGCGAUACUUGGUGUGAAUUGCAGAAUCCCGUGAACCAUCGAGUUUUUGAACGCAAGUUGCGCCCGAUGCCAUUAGGUUGAGGGCACGUCUGCCUGGGCGUCACACACAGCGUCGCUCACCACCAACCUAGUUGGUGAAGAGCGGAGAUUGGCCCCCCGAGUCCUCAGGGCACGGUCGGCACAAAUAUUGGUCCCCGACAGCGAGUGUCGCGGUCAGCGGUGGUUGUAUUCUUCCUCCAAAGACAAAAUGACGCGUACCUCGUUGCGUGCGGGAUCGAAACGACCCCCGAAAGCCGUUCGCGGCAUUCACCCUGCGACCCCAGGUCAGGCGGGAUUACC